UGGGGAAUUUUCCGCAAUGGGGGAAACCCUGACGUAGCGACACCGCGUGAGCGAAGAAGCCCCUUGGGGUGUAAAGCUCUGUCAGCUGGAACGAAAAAAAUGACGGUACCAGCAGAGGAAGCAUCGGCUAACUACGUGCCAGCAGCCGCGGUAAGACGUAGGAUGCGAGCGUUGUCCGGAUUUAUUGGGCGUAAAGGGUUCGUAGGUGGUUUGUCAAGUCUGAUGUUAAAGAUCGGGGCUCAACCCUGGGACGGCAUUGGAUACUGGCAGACUUGAGUGUGGUAGAGGCUAGUGGAAUUCCCAGUGUAGCGGUGAAAUGCGUAGAUAUUGGGAAGAACACCGGUGGCGUAGGCGACUAGCUGGGCCAUAACUGACACUGAGGAACGAAAGCCAGGGUAGCGAAUG
rnacentral:rRNA from 1 species